UACGGAGGGUGCGAGCGUUAAUCGGAAUUACUGGGCGUAAAGGGUGCGUAGGUGGUUGAUUAAGUUAUCUGUGAAAUCCCCGGGCUCAACCUGGGCAGGUCAGAUAAUACUGGUUAACUCGAGUAUGGGAGAGGGUAGUGGAAUUUCCGGUGUAGCGGUGAAAUGCGUAGAGAUCCGGAAGAACACCGGUGGCGAAGGCGGCCUGCUGGGCAGUUUAGCUGACACUGAGGCGCGACAGCGUGGGGAGCAAACAGG
rnacentral:rRNA from 1 species